rnacentral:rRNA from 1 species
GACGGAGGAUGCAAGCGUUAUCCGGAAUUAUUGGGCGUAAAGCGUCCGCAGGUGGUAGUUUAAGUCUGCUGUCAAAGACCGGGGCUUAACUUCGGAAAGGCAGUGGAAACUGAACAGCUAGAGUAUGGUAGGGGCAGAGGGAAUUCCUGGUGUAGCGGUGAAAUGCGUAGAGAUCAGGAAGAACACCGAUGGCGAAGGCGGUCUGCUGGACCAUAACUGACGCUCAGGGACGAAAGCGAGGGGAGCGAAUGGG